GCACUGCUUUUGAUCCCCUGCCUUGCCUGCUCUUGGCGCUUGGCAUCCUGCUGCAGCGCCAGAGUCUGCACAUGUGCAAAACCG
rnacentral:snoRNA from 1 species